GAAUUCGAUUAGAGUUUGAUCCUGGCUCAGAUUGAACGCUGGCGGCAGGCUUAACACAUGCAAGUCGAGCGGUAGCACAGGGGAGCUUGCUCCCUGGGUGACGAGCGGCGGACGGGUGAGUAAUGUCUGGGAAACUGCCUGAUGGAGGGGGAUAACUACUGGAAACGGUAGCUAAUACCGCAUAACGUCGCAAGACCAAAGAGGGGGACCUUCGGGCCUCUUGCCAUCAGAUGUGCCCAGAUGGGAUUAGCUAGUAGGUGGGGUAAUGGCUCACCUAGGCGACGAUCCCUAGCUGGUCUGAGAGGAUGACCAGCCACACUGGAACUGAGACACGGUCCAGACUCCUACGGGAGGCAGCAGUGGGGAAUAUUGCACAAUGGGCGCAAGCCUGAUGCAGCCAUGCCGCGUGUGUGAAGAAGGCCUUCGGGUUGUAAAGCACUUUCAGCGAGGAGGAAGGUGGUGAGCUUAAUACGCUCAUCAAUCGACGUUACUCGCAGAAGAAGCACCGGCUAACUCCGUGCCAGCAGCCGCGGUAAUACGGAGGGUGCAAGCGUUAAUCGGAAUUACUGGGCGUAAAGCGCACGCAGGCGGUUUGUUAAGUCAGAUGUGAAAUCCCCGGGCUCAACCUGGAACUGCAUUUGAAACUGGCAAGCUAGAGUCUCGUAAAGGGGGGUAGAAUUCCAGGUGUAGCGGUGAAAUGCGUAGAGAUCUGGAGGAAUACCGGUGGCGAAGGCGGGCCCCUGGACAAAACUGACGCUCAGGUGCAAAGCGUGGGGAGCAACAAGAAUAGAUACACUGGUAGUCCACCUUUAAAGA
rnacentral:rRNA from 1 species